UGUUUGGAACCUGGGAUUCAAAUAGCCUGGCAGGAAGUGCUCUAGCAGAGGGACUUUGGCCUUGCGAGAGUCCCUAUUUCCCCCUUUUUUUUUGCUUUUCACCCAGUAAAACCCUGCUUUACUUCCCUUUAAGUCGUCUGUGAGCCUAAAUUUUUGUGGCUGUGGGAAGGACAAGAACCCCAUCUUUAGCUGAAAUAAGGAAAAGUUCUGCAACAUUUUUGGCACACACCCUGGGGGGCUCCGGAAGUGGUUUCCCCAAAUCAAACUUCAGUUUCAAAAUUGUCUUCCCUGGCACCUGGCUUUUUGAAUACUUCAGAGGGCCCCUGAAGUGUCCAGAAAAGAGAGGAAUGCUCUCGGAACUGGACCUUGAUGAAGGAAAUACUCACUUUCUGACUCACUGGAAUUUGUUAUAGUCAAAUUUGCCUAUGUGAUAACUUAGGUCUUCACGAUGGCCCAGAGUAAGACGAGGCAUGAGGACCCUUCUCAUCAUUUAAUUAUUGCUUGACCAAAACUGUGCCUUGUAAGAAAUGCUUGCUGUUUGAAAACCUGUGAAGACCUGCAUCCCUUUGUAUCUCAAAUAAAGACAGAGGUGUUUCCAGA
rnacentral:antisense_RNA from 1 species